rnacentral:rRNA from 1 species
AUUGAACGCUGGCGGCAUGCCUUACACAUGCAAGUCGAACGGCAGCACGGGUGCUUGCACCUGGUGGCGAGUGGCGAACGGGUGAGUAAUACAUCGGAACGUACCUUAUCGUGGGGGAUAACGCAGCGAAAGUUGCGCUAAUACCGCAUACGCCCUGAGGGGGAAAGCGGGGGACCGUAAGGCCUCGCGCGAUUAGAGCGGCCGAUGUCUGAUUAGCUUGUUGGUGAGGUAAAAGCUCACCAAGGCGAUGAUCAGUAGCUGGGCUGAGAGGACGAUCAGCCACACGGGGACUGAGACACGGCCCAGACUCCUACGGGAGGCAGCAGUGGGGAAUUUUGGACAAUGGGGGCAACCCUGAUCCAGCAAUGCCGCGUGAGUGAAGAAGGCCUUCGGGUUGUAAAGCUCUUUUGUCAGGGAAGAAACAGCAGCUCUAACACAGUCUGCGAAUGACGGUACCUGAAGAAUAAGCACCGGCUAACUACGUG